rnacentral:lncRNA from 1 species
AAUCUUGGCUCGCUGCAAGCUCCGCCUCCCGGGUUCGGCUGUUCUCAGAGAUUUGUGUGUCUGCCAGAGGGAGGUGGUCGGUGUUUGCAACGUGGCUUUCUGCUUGGAAGGACUGUGGCUCCGUGUCUCAGAGUUCUGGGCCUUGGGUGUCUCAUGGGCCUGGUGCUGGGCAGCAGCGUGGAGCUGCCAGCAAGAGCAGCCUCCCUUCUGCUCUCAAGACUCAGGCCUUGGGAACAAGGCUGUGACUGUUGUUACCCACACACGCAUGUGAGUGUGCAGCCUCUCCGGGGAGAGUGGGUGACCUGGGGGAGUCAAGGCAGGUGGAACAAGCCAUCCACUUCUGCACUGGUGCCGUCCACUCAGAGAACCCGUCUAGCAGCGGAGAUGCUGCUCCCAAGCUGAGAGAUGUGGUCCUGCGGGGGCUGGUGGGGGCAGAAGACAUUUCCUCAAGACACUGGCAGUUACUGGAGGAAGGUGAGAGCUUCUUUGCAGGGUGGCAUCCGGCUCUGGUGGUGACGUUUUAAAGACGAAGAUCCUGCGUGUACACGGCUGUGAGGCAGACAGCCCGUAAUCAGUGCGACUCCAUGCCGUGCCACACACCUUAUUUUAAGCCACGUGUUUCCUUUAUGAAAAUAGAGCAAAAGGACUAUUAAGAGGGAGAACAGGAGUGUCACCGGAAGCCCCAGACUCAAGGCCCUGCUGUUCUGCCCCCUUGGCCGUUAUCCAGCCCACGGUGGUCUCCACGAGCCCCUGCUCCUGUCCAGGCUCCAAAUCACAUCGACAUGACAGUUGGUGCCGACCUGACAGGCAGUAGGUGAAUCCCUUCAAAACUCUUCCUUCUCUCUUUUUUUUUUAAGUCUUUAACAGACCUCCCUAGAACCCUGAAAUUUGGGUUUCCACACUUUCUUCAAUACAGUUGUUUCUGAGGACCAUAAAUGCUGAGUCCUGAAGCAUGUGCUGUGUGUCCUGGAGGGGCCAGUGUGGUGUGUGGUGUAUGAUCUGGAGGCUCCCCGGGGGCUCCUGGCAACAAGCUGCAGGACGCACACCUUCUCAGAACCAGCG